AUGGAUAAUGGGAUGCAGGGAAUUGGGAAACUGGGAUUGUCUCCAGGGAAAAUCCUGGAAAUCCUGGAAGUCUCUGUGUGGUGUGGUGGUGGCGGAAUUCCCGCUCCGUCCUUCCCGCGCCGUUCUGGGAUGGAGAGGUUUGGGAAGGAUCAGGGAAAAGCGGAGUUAGGGGAGAACGGGGAAUGGGAGCUGGGGGAUUUGUGGGAAGGGAAAAUCCUGCACAAUCCUGAUCGGGAAUGGGAAUGGGGAGAAUUCCUGCAGCUCCCCAUCCCUGCAUUCCCGUCCCAGUGUCCCAUCCCAGUGUCCCAGGAGCUCCCAGUGUCCCAUCCCAGUGUCCCAUCCCAGUAUCCCAGUAUCCCAUCCCAGUGUCCCAUCCCAGUAUCCCUGUAUCCCAUCCCAGUAUCCCAUCCCAGUAUCCCAUCCCAUCCCAGUAUCCCAUCCCAGUAUCCCAGUAUCCCAUCCCAGUGUCCCAUCCCAGUGUCCCAUCCCAUCCCAGUGUCCCAUCCCAGUGUCCCAUCCCAGUAUCCCAUCCCAUCCCAGUAUCCCAUCCCAUCCCCGUAUCCCAUCCCAGUGUCCCAUCCCAUCCCAGUAUCCCAUCCCAGUAUCCCAGUAUCCCAUCCCAGUGUCCCAUCCCAUCCCAGUCCCCGUAUCCCAUCCCAGUAUCCCAUCCCAGUGUCCCAUCCCAGUAUCCCAUCCCAUCCCAGUAUCCCAUCCCAUCCCAGUAUCCCAUCCCAGUGUCCCAUCCCAUCCCAGUGUCCCAUCCCAUCCCAGUGUCCCAUCCCAGUGUCCCAUCCCUGUCCCAUCAGGGGGAUCCCCUUCCCAAAGAUCCUUUGGGAUUGGGGGGAUCCCGGCAGUGCUGCCUCCAGGUGUAAAACACAACCAGUGCUCCCAGUGCCCCCCUGGGGUUCUCCCAGUGCUCCCAGUGCCCCCCCGGGGCAUUCCCAGUGCUCCCAGUGCCACCCUGGGAUGCUCCCAGUGCCCCAAAAUCCCAUCCUGGGGUUCUCCCAGUGCUCCCAGUCCAGGCCCUCCCCCCAAACCCCAGGAAUUUCCCGGAAUUUCCCGAGCAGAUUCCAGCAGCUCCCAGGGCAGGACCUCGCCAGGAUUUUGGGAAUCACCCUUUGGAAUUUAACAAAAAACAAAACACCACCGACGCAGCUUUUGCUUCAUUUUAUUUUUAAUUUUAAUUCCUCCCCUCAAUUUUAAUUUUAAUUUUAAUUUUAAUUUUAAUUUUAAUUUUGUUUUUGGUGUGUGCUUAAUUUAUUCGAAUAGUGGCUGUAUAAUUUAUUUUCAUAAAUAUAUGAGAAAAGUUACUAAAUGGUUAAAAAAAAAAAAAAGAAUAAUAGUAAUAAUAAUAAUAAUAAUAAUAAAAAAAAAAACCAAACGGACUUUGCA
rnacentral:lncRNA from 1 species